rnacentral:rRNA from 1 species
AGAGCGAACGCUGGCGGCAGGCUUAACACAUGCAAGUCGAGCGGGCGUAGCAAUACGUCAGCGGCAGACGGGUGAGUAACGCGUGGGAACGUACCUUUUGGCUCGGAACAACACAGGGAAACUUGUGCUAAUACCGGAUAAGCCCUUACGGGGAAAGAUUUAUCGCCAAAAAGAUCGGCCCGCGUCUGAUUAGCUAGUUGGUGAGGUAACGGCUCACCAAGGCGACGAUCAGUAGCUGGUCUGAGAGGAUGAUCAGCCACAUUGGGACUGAGACACGGCCCAAACUCCUACGGGAGGCAGCAGUGGGAAUAUUGGACAAUGGGCGCAAGCCUGAUCCAGCCAUGCCGCGUGAGUGAUGAAGGCCCUAAGGGUUGUAAAAGCUCUUUUGUGCGGGAAGAUAAUGACGGUACCGCAAAGAAUAAGCCCCGGCUAAACUUCGUGCCAGCAGCCGC